CUAAUGGAAGCAGUUGACAUAUGUCGAGCGAUAGAAAUAAGUAAAGACCAGUCUAAAAUGUUACAAAAUGAGUCAUUAAUAAAUGCAGUUCAACGAAGAGAGCCAAGAUGUUGUCACCAACGGGGUUCAUUUAACCAAUGACACGCGUUUGUGCACGGCCUAGGCUCCACCCUCACGUUUCUUUGUUGUCGGUAGUGAUUCAAAACUAUAAAAGGUGGCGAAUCUCUACCGACGCUCUCUGCUCUCUAGUUUCUUCGACUCUUACGAGCACUACACGUGCGUCGUGCGGGCUUCGGCCUACGCCGUGACGGCCAUGUGGCCUUCUUUGCAGGCAUAUAUGCCUCUAACUAGAAUACUGUGCUGCAGUUCUUUGUUUUUCAAACCUAAAACUGUGUAAUUACUACCUACCCUUCUUAAAAUACAAAUGUAAGAAUACGAGGUGAAACCUCAAUACUGAGAAACGCCGUGAAUUGGCAAACUAGUUGCAGAAUAUAACGUACGGUUAUAAAAUGGAAUAAAGAUGUUAUAAUCAGCUUUGCAGACAACACACUUCACACCCCUAUCUACUCUUAGAUAGGUAAAGCAUCUUCAUAUGGAGUAUGGUCGAAGGGGCUUAUUUCCAGACCAUGAAAGCCGGUGAUGAUGAUAAUGUGUUCGUGUGUGUACCAGAUGUGGAUACAAUAAUUUGAGAGAUGAUCGAUGCCCAGCUUGGGAUAAAACAUGUGCUAAGUGUCAAGACCAUAACCAUUUUGCAAAAGUUUGCAGAGAAGACCAUAAACCUAGUGGGAGCAGUGUGACAAGGAAACCAGAAAGCCCAAGAAUCCUGAGAAUGAGGUUAAAAUUAUUAGAUUAUGAUUUAGUUGUGUCAUACAAACCAGGAAAAACCAUGUACAUAUCUGACACACUGUCAAGGGCAUUUCUAAAAACAAUAAAAAAUCUGUUGAUACAGAGAUAGAGUUUGCGGUUCAUUCAAUUGUCAAUGAUUUACCGUUAUCUGAGGAACGAAAAAAUCAGUUUCGACAAGAGACAAUAGCAGACCCCCAACUACAAGUUGUUUUUGACUUUAUCAUCAGUGGCUGGCCGGAGCAAAAAUAUAAAAUUCCAGAGAAUGUCAGACACUUCGCCAAAAUAAAAAAAAAAUAUAUUUAUAACUAAUGAUCUUCUUUUUCUAGACAAUAAAUUAGUUGUCCCUUUUUCAUUACGAAAGGAAGUUCUAGGAUUACUUCAUGAGGGACAUUUAGGCAUAGAAAAAA
rnacentral:lncRNA from 1 species